rnacentral:rRNA from 1 species
ACUAGUGAUUUCCGUAGGUGAACCUGCGGAAGGAUCAUUACUAAAAUUCACCCAACUCAACCAAGCCUUCAGUUGCGAGUGUCUUCGGAUGCCGCACACACAACUAAAAAUCAAAGCAUCUAAGUAAGACCAAAACAAAAACCAAAUUCUCAACGGUGGAUGUCUUGGUUCCCACAACGAUGAAGAACGCAGCGAAGUGCGAUAAGCAGUGCGAAUUGCAGAACCGUGAGUCAUCAGAUUUUUGAACGCAACUUGCGCCGUCGUGGCUCGCCACGCGGCACGCCUGGUCCAGUGUCUUAUUUUCUCCUCACCCAAAUCUUAAUGCGAGAGAUACCCUUCUCUUGCCAAGAAUGAAAGCACCCUGCGUUUGCGAGCGACCUCUGGUCGCACUCAAUGCGGUCGUCACAUUCUCGUAAUGUGAACUCAUUGAGAGCGAAUGCAGCGCAGCCUAGCUGCGAGUGCUUAGUCAAGCCAACUUCGGCAUCGUAUCUGGGCUCAGGUGGGACUACCCGCUGAACUUAAGCAUAUCA